AACCUUAUGGACCUGCGGGCGUAUACCUGCGGAAGGAUCAUUACACAUAUUACGGGGGGUCGGUCACCCAGAGCGUCGCCUCUUAGCACCUCUGGGCCCUGCCCUGUCUGAAUAUUCUACCCAUGUCUUUUGCGCACUCUUCGUUUCCUCGGUGGGCUUGCCUGCCGAUAGGACACUAUAAAACCUUUUUGUAAUUGCAAUCAGCGUCAGAAAAACUUUUAAUAGUUACAACUUUCAGCA
rnacentral:misc_RNA from 1 species